ensembl:lncRNA
AGUGUUUUCACCUCUUCAAUAAAAGAGAAAGUCUGGGGUAGUCUGCAGAAAAGAUAUCAGGAUGAAAACCUUCAGAAAUUUCUGAAGGAGGCCACGAUGAUGGACCCAUGUUUUAAAGGCAGGCUAGGUGGUGAGACAGCUACUGACAUCUGGGACAGGUUGGAGAAGGCAGCAGUUGCAAAUGCCACAGCAGCAGUUGCACAGCCUCCCACUGAGGACCCCAAAGCACACAGCGAGGUGGAUGAUGCUGACAUGGACAAGCCAGAAAAAUAUCUAAGUAAGGUCCAGAAGUCACCCUUAGAAAAGCUGUUUGAGGAUGAAGACAGAGAGCUUCAACAGGCUGCUUCUCAAGCGGGUAGAGUCCCCUCAAUCACAGAGCAGGUACAGAAGGAGCUUCAAAUAUACAAAAGACUGCCAGGAAUUACCUCUGGACAAGACCCUGUGGCCUGGUGGUGGAGUAAGAGGGAUACACUCCCCAAUUUAUCUGCCCUAUCAGAAAAAUACUUGUGUGUCCCAGCCUCAUCAACGCCUUCUGAAAGAGUUUUCUCUUGUGCUGGGCAUGCCAUCAGCCAAGAGCGAUGCCGUGUAGCUCCAGAAAAGGCUAAUAUGAUUAUCUUCUUGCAAAAAAACUGCUAAACAUCACAGGUUUCAUGACAAAGUUUGUGUUUUCAAUUGUUUAAGCACUGGUUCCAACCAAAGAAGUUAUGUUUUAUUGACAGAAAGGGCUAACUUUGUUAUCAUUUUGCUUAAAAAAAAUUACUGGGAAAAAUAAAAACAUAAGAGGUUUUUGGACGAAGUUUGUGUUCUUUAUUCUUU